rnacentral:lncRNA from 1 species
CAUCAAGUCCUAGCUUUGCGGGCAAUAGAUCAGAGGAUACUGCCAGUUUUUCUAAUGGAUUAUUGUUAUCGGGCAGGUUCUUCCUGAAGAGGAUCCAGCCUCCUGGGGACAGACUAGACCACAACAUACUUUCCUUUUGAGUAAUAAUGCAUAUGGAGUUUCCAUGUUACCGGAAGCAGAACAGUUAU